rnacentral:SRP_RNA from 1 species
AACGAAGACCUCUGCAAUGGGAGGCUGUGAACCUGGUCAGGUGAGAAAUCAAGCAGCCAUAAAUAGUAUCUUUCAUGUGUCGGGGUCUUCGUUGGG